rnacentral:tRNA from 1 species
UCUAAUGUGGCAGACUAGUGCAUUGGAUUUAAGCCCCAAAUAUAAAGGAUUUCUUUCAUUAGAA